GGGUGUGGGAGUUUGCAAAUGCGGAUGGUUGCGGUUUCAAGUGUUAUUUAGCGUUUUGUAUGACUGACACAACGUUUAAAAAUUGUUGCGUUUACGGGAUAUUUGUAACUGGUUGAUUAUAAGAUAUUGCGGCAGUUUAAUAAUAAAUUACCAACAUUAAUAUAUUAUAUCAUUAUAAAAAUAUAAAACAUACUAUUAUA
rnacentral:lncRNA from 1 species